GGAGCCCAAAUACGCGACACCUGGAGCAGUCGCGGCCGCCCCGCGGCCUGGGCCUCAUUACGGGGCCGGCCCUUAUCGCGGCGUGCAUCACAUUAUUUCAUUUCAAAGAAUCCGCAGAGAAGCCCGGCCCGGCCGACAACAGAAAGUAAAAACACAGCUGACUCCCAUUAGGGCCCUCUCACAGGCUCCGCGUGAGAAACUCCUUAAGAUCAACAUUAGCAUAUUUCAGAUGAGAAAACUGCACCCCAGAGACGUGAACCCAUUUGUUGAGAAGGUCAACAGCUAGGAAGUGGCACCAGGCAACCUGGACUCCACAGGGAGACGGCGGAGAUGCGGGCACCUUACAGGGUGUGAUUAAUGGCGCUAAUAUUUCUACAAAAGCCUAGGCGCUGCUGUUGCACACUCACUUCUUUCAGCACUAUUGUGAGGUUUCGUGCCUCAUUUUACAGCCGAGGAACCUGAACCCAGAGGCAAAGGCUCUUGUCCACGUCUACUCAGCAGUGUACCCCGACAACUGACCCCGCAGAGGUCACGGAAUAUAAGCGGAUGCGGAGGAAACGCAAGUAAAAUACUCAUGGUCCCUGCCCUGGGAGCGCUCACGGUCUGGCAGGAAAAGGGCACCUGAACCAAUAAUAAGAGUGUAGAGCCGCGAUGGACGUGCCUGGUACCCACAGAGAAUCACGGAGACCUGCCCAGAGAGUCAGGAUGGAUCUCACCCAACCUGACGUUUGCGCAGUCUUCGAGGCUUCAGACUAAAUCAAAGGCUCUAGGGAAGACAGCCCACAAUACAGUGGUUCAAACAGAACAGAAGUUCGUGUCUCUUCGUGCAGUGGUUUGGAGAUAGGCAUGUGACCCCGGGUGAACGGGACAGCUGUGCUCUCCAAGGUCGUCCAGGGACCCAGGUUCCUUCUGUUUUGUUGCUCUGCCAUCCCUCCACGGCCAGAACUCGUCUGCACAUACCACGUCCUCAUUCCAGCCAUGGGAAGCAACUUCACUGGGAAGGAGCCUGAAGAUGACAGUUCUCUCCUGCUGGCCAGCAUCUCCCUCCUCUAAGGAAGAAGGGGACGGAGCAGAGGGUAGCAAUGAGAAGGCACCUUGGCCUUUGUCGCCCCCUAGAGUCUGUUCAUUUUGCCCAAACUUCCUGCCCCAGACAGACAGACUGAUUCCCUCCAGCCCCAACCAGCAGUCCCAGAACAGGGGUGCCUGGGGAGAACCCAGCCAGGACCCGUCUCCACAUAUUCUGCCUGUGUGUGUGUCUGAAAAGACCGAGGUAAAUGGAAAGUUCUGGGCAUCUUGACAGCGAAAGUAAAACCAAUGCCAAGCUUGGAAUUCCUCGACCUGGGCUGGAUCCUGGCCCUACCAGUUACCAGCUUUAUGACUCAGGCCACCACCUUGUCUUUCUGAACCUGCAUUCCUCGCCCACAAGGCCAUGGUGGUGAAAACACCUGCCCCAUCACAGGCGCUCAGGAAGUGUUGAUUUAGGCGCAGAGUUUCAGAAAAAGGAGGCUGCUCAAGAGUGAGGAAGCGGAGACGGGAGGGGUGUUGAGGGCAGGAGCCUCCAGUUCUGCGAUGGCAAAAAAGCAGCCCCAAGUUCUUCCCCAGCCUUCAGAAGAUGGGGUCUGUCUCCUCACCCCUGGAAUAUGAUGAGUUGGGUGAAGGAUUUGCUUUGGCCAGUGGCUGUUGGCAAAGAUGAUGCAAGCAGAGGCUUACAAAGCACUUACACAUUGGGGCUUGGCCCAUCUUGCUGCACUGGGAAGCCUGAGACGGCCCCCAUGUGAAGACUCCCAGGCUGUCAGCCAGCCCCCCACCCACCAUCUCUGCCACAUGAUCAGAUGAGUGGUUCCGUUAUUUACUGGUGCAUAACAAGCUACCCCCAAAGAAGCUUAAAGUCAUCUUAUCUUGCUCCACUUCUGAGGGUCAGGAGCCUGGGGGCUGGCAAGCAGGGAAACCGAGUCAACACCAGCCACACCCUGCCUCCUGCAGAGCCCCGUGGUGCAGCUCCAGCUCCAUGGGCACACAGGUGAGCCUGCUUCCCUCCCAGAAAACCGAGCAUCAGAAACCAGAGGGUCCUCAGCCAUGACUAAACAGGUGGGGAAGAUGACCCAACGUCACACCACAAACCUGCAGCAGCCACAGAUUUCAAGCUGCCCCUCCUGCUCCCUGCCCUGGGCUUGUUUUGUUACAAUCUAUAACGUGCACUUUGCAGCCUUGGCGACACUUCUGUUCCAAACUGAAUGUAUUUUAAAAUACUGCCCUUUGGGGACUCUGAGGUCAGCCCAGGGCAAUAAGAAAAAACCAGCAAGAAGAGGAACAAGAGAGGUGACUUUAUUAAGCUGGUUACUUCUCCCUAGCGCCCUCCCCUCCGGCCCCUUGUCCCCACCCUGCGCAACCCAGGAUUCCUGCCCCCCAGUGACCAGAACUCACUGAGGCGCCCCAACGCUGCUCCCAAGAGGCACACAUUGGUCAGAGAAAAUCCAGAUCGGAACCUAGACUCUUAGCAUCUCAGGACUGGAACGAAACUUCCCCUGGACUGCGCUCUCUCCUGUAUAAGUGGCCAUUCAAUCUCUGCUUCCCUGCUUUCAGAAACCGGAACUUCCCGCGUCCUGAACUGGUUGGAAAGAAUUGGUUGAAAAGCGCUUUGGAGACAGGUCUGCCUCCACUCAAGUCUCUGCGAUAGACAGCUCCGCCACCUUUGAUAAGUCAUUGGACUUCUCUCCUCCUUGAACUUCUCUGCCAAAUGGGAAUAAAGCCUCCUGAGCAGGGUUGUUGUGAGAAGUGAGUUUAUCCAGAAAAUAAUGAGUUCAUGACAAUUUUUAUUACAGGCAGCAGGUGAGAAUGGGAUGGAACCUGGGGGUCCUGCCUCCGACAGUGACUGCUUCCCUCCUGAGCCCCUCCUAUCCCCACACCCCCAACAGUCAGGGAUGCAAGCGGUUAGUUAGGGUCUCCUGAGGUCUUCCCCCCCCCCCGACCAACCAAGGAAGUAGAUUCCCUCACCUCGGGGAUGCAGGAAGGCACCGGGCCACAGGGUGUCAGAAAGUGAGGGGGGCUCUCCAAUGGAUGUGCGGGGCCUGAAAUACCCAAGGAUGAAGGAAGAAAAAAGAGGAUGAGGAGUGCAAAGGGGAGGAGAGGAGAGAGAGAGCAAAUGUGUGCAUGGAGGUGAUGGGGAAGGGUCCGCACGGAGUCAGUCCUGUUGGCGUGGCUGAGACGCCCGGGUGCAGGGGAAGGGGAGUGAGGAGCUACCUCCUCUACUCUGGGGGUUCUUUCUCCAGCAUCCAGUUACGCUGCAUCUCUGGAGGGUGGAGGACGGGCAGGCGGACGGCAGAAGCUGGCAAGGCUGAGCUUGUGAAAUCAGACCAGGAGGCAGGGGAGCCCCGCUCCUCCUGCUCAUCACCUGCCACGAAGCAAAACCAAUUUGCAAGCAAAUCCCUGAGGGAGACGAGUGGCCAGGGAGCAAGGGACAGGAAAUGGGACCCAUUCCACCCUCCCCGUCAUGGAUGUCCUACAAUAUACAUACAAACGGCCAUAAGAGCGUUUUGACUGGGUCGCUGCUUCUGCAGUUUCUUUUAGUGUCUUUCUAAACAGCUUGGAGCUUUCCCCGGGCUUUCCAGAAGCUCACGGUCUCCCAGGGGUCCUCCACACCCUCCCUCCGGGCCCAUCCUGAGCCCCGCGGGAGCCCCCCAGCCUUGGCCUCGAGGAGAGGGAACCUUGGCUGGAGUUAUCAGCCCCAGGCCACUGCUGGUGGCUUUUCCCAAUCCCUACGCACACCUUUGUAAACAGUCCCUUUGAAGAACUCACCUCCUAACCGAGGAUAGGCAAAUGCAUAGAGACCAAAAUUGGACCGGGAGUUGCCAGGGCUGGGGGAGGGGGAUGGCCGGGGCUUCCGUGUUUACCGGGUGCAGAGAUGCAGUUGGGAAGAUGAAAAAGUUCUGGAGAUGGAUGGAUGGUGACAGGUGCACAACAGUGUGAAUUCACUAAAUGUCAUUGAACUGGAUGCUUUAAAAUAGUGCAAAUGCUAAAUUUUAUAUAUAUUUUAGCACAGUUUAAAAAAAAAAUCCCUCGCCCCCGUAAACCAGCCCGAGGGGGCACCUCUUGCCUCUGAACACCUGCCCGCACCCAGCGCUGUUUUCCCCAGCGGGUCCAAAGCUCCGGACCCUGGACUUCUCCUCCCACAGGGGUUCCUGGAGGCCGACCCUCAAGGUGGCGCAGGGGGCUGAGUCCCCCCGUGAGGCCCCACUGAAUGCCGUCAGAGACCACUUUAACUGAGCUGAGGAAAACGGAGGGUGCGUGCUUCUGGGGGCCCCCACACCCGGCCAAGGCUCCGCCCGGACCCCAGCUGCACACCUGCUGCUGAACCAGUGUCUCUUGUUCUCGGCUGUUUCACAGACUGGCUCCGGCUCCUCACACAAUCAGCAGCCAAGCGACAGGUCCUCACUCUGCCAACUGUGUGACCUUAGGCCAGUCUGGCCCCUCUCUGGGCCGCGGUCUCCCUUGCGGACAAGAAGUGAGAUAACCAGUCGUGUUCAGAUUUUCCUGUUAACCCUCAGAAUCCUGUCUUCAAAUAAAACCUUAGAAAGGAGCCCAACAUAAAAGUAAAAUAAGAUCAGGGCUGACUGGGCUGAGGGGGGCGUGAGAGCCCAUCCUGCUCGCCCAUAUUCUGAGGAACCCCGGGGUUCCACGGAGCACAGUUUGACGACCACUGUUCUGGCUGGUCCUCUGGCCGUGCAUAGUCGGGGGCGGGGGGGGGAGACUGCCAAAAGAAUGACGGGAUCACCAGGGACAAUACACACCCCCUUCUCUCUCCCUCUUGGCCUCGGUUCUCUUCCCCCCCCCCCGCAAGGAGCAGAGGGAGCCCAGACCCAGGCCUGCAGGUCCCAACUGUGCAAGACUCACCCCCUCCUCACGGUGCCAGAAAUGCUCUAGAGGACAAGAAAUUGCUGAGCCUUUGUGCCCCACACCCCCUUGAUGGGAAGCUUGCAGUUCCCUGGCCAGCCAGCCUGUUGCCUCUGAGCACAAGCAGAGGGCCUGAGCUGGAGCCAAGAAUAAUAUUGUGUCAGUGAGUCUAUUAUGAAAAUAAUGGAAUAAAAGAAGCCACCCUCCAUAAGGGAUGUGCAGCUUCCCUCGGAUCUGCCACGGCCUGACAGGAGCUGAGGUGGCCCUUCCAGGACCGGCAUUCAGCCAAGAGCUUUCUCUAGUCAUUAGAAACAGGCUUUAUCACUGGGCAUCGGUUGGCACAGCCUGGCUUCUCCCCCGCCCGCCCCGCUCAGCUCGGGCAUGUGGGGCGAUGGCCACGGCCCCCCUUGCUCCUCCUGUAACCCCUGAGCUGAAGGCAAAAGCAAAACCUGGUCUCAGCGAAUGUUUUCUGGGUGCCUAAGAGUAUCGCCUCGUUUGACCCUCUUGGCGACACGCUAAGCUAGGUACCCGAGGAUUGUGCCCAUUUUAACCUGAAAACAACCGAGGUGCAGAGACGCACUGGCUCGCCGUGAGGAGCAGGGAGUGGACAUUCGUGUGCUUGGCUCCCGAGUGUCUGAACCGGUACCGGGUCGGCUCCCGGAAACGGGGAGCAGGUCCUCCCCCGCCUCUGUCUUUGCCUCGAGAUUCCCGUCACCACCCUCCUUGGUGCCCUGUCUCGUCCGUUCAAAGGGAACCCCUUUAAGCCUCCCUCAGCCCCCAUCCCAUUUAUCAUGUACCCCCUGCGUGGGGGACACAUCGGCGACCCCACUUAGCCCAGAUCUCGGGCACGAGACCUCACCUGCGGACUCCUGCCUGGGUCUCUGCUGAGGCAGGGGCCAGAGCAAGUCCUUAGGCCUCCGAAGAGUGGAGGAUCAAGCUAAGGACCACUGACGCCAGUGUCCCCGAUGCCAUGGGGCUCUCCAAGCAGCUGGAGGUGACCACGCGUUUCUGCUUGGCCAUGGGUCCCCUCCCAUGGGUACAGGGCAAAGAGGCCUGGCUGGGAGUCAGGACAAGGGAGUUCUGGUCCCAGCUCUGCCCUGGGCAUGCUCGUGCCCAUGACCUUGGCAAGUCACUCCCCGUCCCUUGGCCUCAGUUCCACCUUCUGACAAAUGAUUGUAAAAAUCCCGUUGUACCUUCCAAGGCUUUUAAGGAGGCUGGAGUGGGAGGUCAAGCAGUGCCAUGGGUGGGCCCUUCUGUUUGCUCCUGUACCUCCUGGCACAGAUGGACAGACAGUCCUGUGUCCCCCAGACACUGACCUGCUCCCUCGGAGGUUGGAGGGAAGAUGUGAGGCUUGAGUGGGUGAUGCCUGGUCCAGCAGCCCCUCCCAUCCAGAAGCUCAUUCUAUGUCUUCAUUAUCCAAUGUCAAGGGGACUUCCCGUGUGACUCACAACGUUAUCCAAUGCCAAAGGCUUUGCUUGUAUUAUCUCAAUAAAUCCUCAAAACUAGCUGUGAGGUCUGUAUUGCUAAUACACAUUCUAUAGCUGGAGAAACUAGGGUUAGAGAGGAUUAACUAACUUGGCCAAUUAUUCCUCCUCUGUUCGGUUGACCACCCAUUCACCCACCUACCGCCCUAUUCAUCUCUAUCAUUCAUUCAUAAUCUCACGUAUCCAUUGAGUUGGUCAGCAGACAUUCUCGGGUGCAUGAUUCUGUGCGGGGCCCCCCGAGUUGGGUCAGCAAGCCUCCAGUCUCAGGGAGCUCACAGUCCAGUGAAACACGCACUUAAAUUUGAAACCCCAGCUCUGAGCCGCAGAGUCCCGUGGUCAAAGCCCUGGGUCACCGUCCCGACUCCACCCUUAGAUACCGUCUCUGGGUGCCCCCAUCCCCUCUUCUCAUUUCCUCCGUACAGGCCAGCUUCUGCCGCCAGGUCCAGAGACUCUAAAGGACACGGGGACUGAGGCUUCUUCUCCUCCCCCACCAUCAUCCCACCAUCAUCUCCUUCCUUCUUCAUCACUGUCACAUCCGAAGCCAUGAAGCCGAGACUCCGCGGGAGCUCUUGUGAAGUACUGUCCACGCUCGGCUACCCACUUAAUGUGGCGCAGUGGACUGAACUGUGUCGCCCUCCCACCCCCCAGCCCCGCCACCAAACUCGUAUGCUGAAGCCCUAACUCCCAAUGCGAUUAUAUUUGGAGAUGGGACUUUGAAGGAGGUAAUUAAGGGUACAUGAUGUCGGAAGGGCAGCGCUCGAAUCUGAUAAAACUGAUGCUCUAAGGAAAGGCCGUGGGAGGACACAGCAAGCAGAGGCCCAUCUUCAAGCCAAGGGAAGAGGUCUCACCACACACCAACCCUGUUGACCCCUUGCUCUCAGACCUCCAGCCUCUAGAGCUGCGAAAACACAUUUCUGAUGUUUAAGUCACCAGUAUGUGGCAUUUUAUUACAACCCAAGCAGACUAGCACAUGCACUAUCCCCAUUCAUCUUCACAGCCAUCCCUUUUUACAGAGGCGGAAUGUAAAGUUCAGAGAGGGUAGACCAGUUGCCGAGGCUACAGUUAGAAAGUGGCAGAAUCAGGACUCAUACUGUGGCCAGACAAACACCAAAACUGCUACUAUAAGCUAUGGUGUCCCAUCUCCCUCAGUGUUCUAGCACCAGCAAAGGGCCUGGCAGCGUAGGAGCUUCAUGGAUGGAUGGAUGGAUGGAUGGAUGGACUGAUUAAUGCAUGGAUGGGUGGUUGGCCAUCAUCCUGACACUUGAAAAUGUCUUUUCUGGCAGUUGACCUUUUUUUUUUUUUUUUUUGCU